AUUGAACGCUGGCGGCAGGCUUAACACAUGCAAGUCGAACGAGUGGCGGACGGGUGAGUAAUGCUUGGGAAACUGCCUUAUGGAGGGGGAUAACGACGGGAAACUGUCGCUAAUACCGCAUACCAUCGGAUGUGCCCAAGUGGGAUUAGCUAGUUGGUGGGGUAACGGCGCACCAAGCCGACGAUCCCUAGCUGGUCUGAGAGGAUGACCAGCCACACGGGGACUGAGACACGGCCCGGACUCCUACGGGAGGCAGCAGUGGGGAAUAUUGCACAAUGGGUGCAAGCCUGACGCAGCCAUGCCGCGUGUAUGAAGAAGGCCUUCGGGUUGUAAAGUACUUUCGUUGGGGAGGCGUUAAUCACAGAAGAAGCACCGGCUAACUCCGUGCCAGCAGCCGCGGUAAUUC
rnacentral:rRNA from 1 species